rnacentral:tRNA from 1 species
CUUAGCUCAGUUGGAUAGAGCAACGGCCUUCUAAGCCGUGGGUCGCAGGUUCGAAUCCUGAAAA